rnacentral:rRNA from 1 species
AUUGAACGCUGGCGGCAGGCUUAACACAUGCAAGUCGAACGAGUGGCGGACGGGUGAGUAAUGCUUGGGAAUCUAGCUUAUGGAGGGGGAUAACUACGGGAAACUGUAGCUAAUACCGCGUAACAUAGGAAGAGCCCAAGUGGGAUUAGGUAGUUGGUGAGGUAAAGGCUCACCAAGCCGACGAUCUCUAGCUGGUCUGAGAGGAUGACAAGCCACACUGGGACGGAGAAACGGCCCAGACCCCUACGGGAGGCAGAAGGGGGAAAGAUGGCGCAAGGGGGGAAACCUGACGCAGCCAUGCCGGGUGAAUGAAGAAGGCCUUCGGUUUGUAAAGUUCUUUCGGUAGCGAGGCGUUAACUACAGAAGAAGCACCGGCUAACUCCGUGCCAGCAGCCGCGGUAUAC